UGGGGAAUAUUGCACAAUGGCGCAAGCCUGAUGCAGCCAUGCCGCGUGUGUGAAGAAGGCCUUCGGGUUGUAAAGCACUUUCNGCGAGGAGGAAGGUGGUGAGCUUAUACGCUCAUCAAUUGACGUUACUCGCAGAAGAAGCACCGGCUAACUCCGUGCCAGCAGCCGCGGUAAUACGGAGGGUGCAAGCGUUAAUCGGAAUUACUGGGCGUAAAGCGCACGCAGGCGGUUUGUUAAGUCAGAUGUAAAUCCCCGGGCUCAACCUGGGAACUGCAUUUGAAACUGGCAAGCUAGAGUCUCGUAGAGGGGGUAGAAUUCCAGGUGUAGCGGUGAAAUGCGUAGAGAUCUGGAGGAAUACCGGUGGCGAAGGCGGCCCCCUGACGAAGACUGACGCUCAGGU
rnacentral:rRNA from 1 species